rnacentral:rRNA from 1 species
GACGAACGAGGGUGGGGGGAGGAACACAGGCAAGUCGAACGGAAAGGCACUACGUUUGUGCGCUGAUGGAGUGCGGAACGCGGAAGCAACAGGAAAAUAACCGACCCUAGACUUUGGGAUAACUUAAGGAAAGUAGACCUACUACAAGAUAGCAUACCAUGCAGGAGGGAGGGGGGGGGAACGUUUCUGCGGGCGGGGAUGGACGAGCGGCUGAUGAGUUAGUUGGUGGGGGAGGGGCUUACCAAGGCUUCGACGGGUAGCCGGCCUGAGAGGGUGACCGGCCACAUUGGUACUGAGAGACGGCCCAGACUCCUACGGGAGGCAGCAGUGGGGAAUAUUGCACAGUGGGCGGAAGCCUGAUGCAGCGACGCCGCGUGCGGGAUGACGGCCUUCGGGUUGUAAACCGCUUUCGCCUGUGACGAAGCGUGAGUGACGGUAAUGGGUAAAGAAGCACCGGCUAACUACGUG